rnacentral:rRNA from 1 species
GACGAACGCUGGCGGCGUGCUUAACACAUGCAAGUCGAACGGAAAGGCCCUGCUUUUGUGGGGUGCUCGAGUGGCGAGCGGGUGAGUAACACGUGAGUAACCUGCCCUUGACUUUGGGAUAACUUCAGGAAACUGGGGCUAAUACCGGAUAGGAGCUCCUGCUGCAUGGUGGGGGUUGGAAAGUUUCGGCGGUUGGGGAUGGACUCGCGGCUUAUCAGCUUGUUGGUGGGGUAGUGGCUUACCAAGGCUUUGACGGGUAGCCGGCCUGAGAGGGUGACCGGCCACAUUGGGACUGAGAUACGGCCCAGACUCCUACGGGAGGCAGCAGUGGGGAAUAUUGCACAAUGGGCGGAAGUCUGAUGCAGCAACGCCGCGUGCGGGAUGACGGCCUUCGGGUUGUAAACCGCUUUCGCCUGUGACGAAGCGUGAGUGACGGUAAUGGGUAAAGAAGCACCGGCUAACUACGUG